AUAAGCUGUGCCUAUGAGAUCCCAGAUCUGGCAAAAGAUAUCUUCUGGGGAACCAGAUGAGCAUAUGUAAACCUGGGCUUGGUGCACAGAGACCCCAGAGAGAAAUCCUCUUUGUUUGGACAAAAUAAUAAAUACAACAACAAUAAUAAUAAUAGCCAACAUUUAUAUAGCACAUUAAGGUUUGCAAAGUACUUUAUGUAUUCUCUCAUUUGAUCCUGUGGUGUGUUACUGUUAUCCCUGUUUUGCAGAUGAGAAAACCCAGGCUGAAAGAAAGAGUAAGUGACUUGCUCAGGGACACACAACUAGUACAUAUAUGAAUGAGGAUUAUAUCUCAGGACUUCCUUACUUCAAAGUUGACACUCUAUGGACUGUGCCACUUAGCUGCCCAAUCCUCAAUAAAACUGCCUUCCUUCAAAUCUGGCCUCAGACACUUCCCAGCUGUGUGACCCUGGGCAAGUGUUAGAUUUAAAAUAGUUUUGAGCGUUAAAUUGUUAUAGAUAAGAGAGUGGGAGCCAUAAACUGUGAUAAUUAAAAUGUUUUGGGAGCAAGGGAAAUAUAUAUAACAAUUAUGACUGCUGAAAUAUGUUUUCUACUGUGUCUUGGGUUUAUAUAAAUAUAAGAUGGUCACCAGGGAAUAUAUUCCCAAUUUAUGAAUAUGCCCAAGCCAACUGGGUUUUAUAGAGAAAUUUAGUUUAUAAUACACUGAUUAAUCAAUAGAAAAAGAGAGAAAGAAGGAAGGGAGAAAGAAAGGAAGGAAGGAAGGAAGAGAGAAAGAAAAGGAAGAAAGGAAGGAAGAGAGAAAGAAAAGGAAGAAAGGGAAAAAAAGGAAGAAAGGAAGCAAGGAAGAGAGGAAGAAAGAAAAAAAGAGAGAGAAAGGAAGGAAGGAAGGAAGAGAGAAAGAAAGGAAGGAAGGAAGAGAGAAAGAAAGAAAAAGAAAGGGAAAGGAAGGAAGGAAGAGAGAAAGAAAGAAAGGAAGGAAGAGAGAAAGAAAGAAAGAGAGAAAGGAAGGAAGGAAGGAAGAAAAAGAAAGAAAGAAAGGACGGAAGGAAGGAAGGAAGGAAGGAAGGAAGGAAGGAAGGAAGGAAGGAAGGAAGGAAAUGGAGGAAGGCAGGCUGGAAGGAAAGAAGGAAGGCAGGAAGGGAGGAGUAACCCUACCCUUAUCUAUUCCCUAUCCAUUCAACAAGUCAACCAAUGUUGAAUAAGUAUUUCCUAGUGGAAAGCUCUGUGCUAGUUAUCAGGGAUCCAAAAAUUAAAAUGUACACAGCCCCUACCCUCCAGAAAAGAGGAAGGGAGUAUAUUUGUUUGAUCCCAGGUAAGAUGUGAUAAAGACAAACAAAGUCUAAACAAAGUACCACAGGAAAGGAAAGAUCACUUUCAGCUUGGGGAUGGGGAUGGGGAGAGGAGAUCAAUCGAUAAACCAACAAGAAUUUAUCAUAUGUCUGCUAUGUAUACCAGCCACAAUACUUGGUGCUGGGAAUACAAAGAGAAAACAAAAAAGAACCAAUCCCUGUUCCUAAGGGGCUUAUGUUCUUUUGAGAGAGUCAGCAUGGACAUAUGUAAGCAUUGAGAGAAUAAAUGCAAAAUAAAUGAAAAGUAAAAUACGGCU
rnacentral:lncRNA from 1 species